rnacentral:rRNA from 1 species
AUUGAACGCUGGCGGCAGGCCUAACACAUGCAAGUCGAGCGAGCGGCGGACGGGUGAGUAAUGUCUGGGAAACUGCCUGAUGGAGGGGGAUAACUACUGGAAACGGUAGCUAAUACCGCAUACCAUCAGAUGUGCCCAGAUGGGAUUAGCUUGUAGGUGGGGUAACGGCUCACCUAGGCGACGAUCCCUAGCUGGUCUGAGAGGAUGACCAGCCACACUGGAACUGAGACACGGUCCAGACUAGUACGGGAGGGAGCAGGGGGGAAUAUUGCACAAUGGGGGAAAGCCUGAUGCAGCCAUGCGGCGUGUGGGAAGAAGGCCGUCGGGUUGUAAAGCACUUGCAGCGGGGAGGCGGUACCCGAAGAAGAAGCACCGGAUAACUCCGGGCCAGCCGCCGCGGUAAUUC